rnacentral:rRNA from 1 species
GACGAACGCUGGCGGCGUGCUUAACACAUGCAAGUCGAACGGAAAGGCCCUUCUUUUGUGGGGUGCUCGAGUGGCGAACGGGUGAGUAACACGUUAGUAACCUGCCCUUGACUUUGGGAUAACUUCAGGAAACUGGGGCUAAUACCGGAUAGGAGCUCCUGCUGCAUGGUGGGGGUUGGAAAGUUUCGGUGGUUGGGGAUGGACUCGCGGCUUAUCAGCUUGUUGGUGGGGUAGUGGCUUACCAAGGCUUUGACGGGUAGCCGGCCUGAGAGGGUGAACGGGCACAUUGGGACUGAGAUACGGCCCAGACGCCUACGGGAGGAAGAAGUGGGGAAUAUUGCACAAUGGGCGGAAGCCUGAUGCAGCAACGCCGCGUGCGGGAUGACGGCCUUCGGGUUGUAAACCGCUUUCGCCUGUGACGAAGCGUGAGUGACGGUAAUGGGUAAAGAAGCACCGGCUAACUACGUG